rnacentral:lncRNA from 10 species
UACACUGUGUGUCCUCCACUUGGUCUCUUCCUGAAAGCAACACUGUGCACAAUGUUCCUGGGGGCAGACUUAUUAAACCAAGUGGACCACUUCCUUCAUCUUAGGUGUCACAGCUCCAUCAAUGCAUCCUCAAAUCACAAUGAUUUUUCUGCACUUCACCCUACAGGCUGGAGUGCAGUGGUGCGAUCUCGGCUCACUGCAACCUCUGCCUCCCGGUUCAAGCGAUUCUCCUGCCUCAGCCUCCCAAGUAGCUGGGACUACAGGCGCCCGCCACCACGCUCGGCUAAUUUUUUGUAUUCUUAGUAGAGACGGGGUUUCACUGUGUUAGCCAGGAGGGUCUCGAUCUCCUGACCUCCUGAUCCGCCUGCCUCGGCCUCCCAAAGUGCUGAGAUUACAGGCGUGAGCCACCGCGCCUGGCCCCUUCAUGCGUUUUUACACGCUUCAUCCAACCAAUAGUUCAUGGAGGCCUUAGGUGUGUGUUUCCAAAUUUUCUAUGCUGAGUGUGUGUUCU